GACUCAUCCACAUGUCUGUCUCUCCCACUCU
rnacentral:piRNA from 1 species